GCCGGGCGUGGUGGCUCAUGCCUGUAAUCCCAGCACACUGGGAGGCCGAGGUGGGAGGAUCACCUGAGGUCAGGAGUUCGAGACCAGCCUGGCCAACAUGGUGAAACCCCGUCUCUU
rnacentral:SRP_RNA from 2 species